rnacentral:rRNA from 1 species
GAUGAACGCUGGCGGCGUGCCUAUUACAUGCAAGUCGAGCGAACGGACGAGAAGCUUGCUUCUCUGAUGUUAGCGGCGGACGGGUGAGUAACACGUGGAUAACCUACCUAUAAGACUGGGAUAACUUCGGGAAACCGGAGCUAAUACCGGAUAAUAUUUUGAACCGCAUGGUUCAAAAGUGAAAGACGGUCUUGCUGUCACUUAUAGAUGGAUCCGCGCUGCAUUAGCUAGUUGGUAAGGUAACGGCUUACCAAGGCAACGAUGCAUAGCCGACCUGAGAGGGUGAUCGGCCACACUGGAACUGAGACACGGUCCAGACUCCUACGGGAGGCAGCAGUAGGGAAUCUUCCGCAAUGGGCGAAAGCCUGACGGAGCAAAGCCGCGUGAGUGAUGAAGGUCUUCGGAUCGUAAAACUCUGUUAUUAGGGAAGAACAUAUGUGUAAGUAACUGUGCACAUCUUGACGGUACCUAAUCAGAAAGCCACGGCUAACUACGUG